rnacentral:rRNA from 1 species
ACUCCUACGGGAGGCAGCAGUGGGGAAUAUUGCACAAUGGGCGCAAGCCUGAUGCAGCCAUGCCGCGUGUAUGAAGAAGGCCUUCGGGUUGUAAAGUACUUUCAGCAGUGAGGAAGGCGGGUACGUUAAUAGCGUGCUCGUUUGACGUUAGCUGCAGAAGAAGCACCGGCUAACUCCGUGCCAGCAGCCGCGGUAAUACGGAGGGUGCGAGCGUUAAUCGGAAUUACUGGGCGUAAAGCGCAUGCAGGUGGUUUGUUAAGUCAGAUGUGAAAGCCCGGGGCUCAACCUCGGAAUAGCAUUUGAAACUGGCAGACUAGAGUACUGUAGAGGGGGGUAGAAUUUCAGGUGUAGCGGUGAAAUGCGUAGAGAUCUGAAGGAAUACCGGUGGCGAAGGCGGCCCCCUGGACAGAUACUGACACUCAGAUGCGAAAGCGUGGGGAGCAAACAGGAUUAGAUACCCUGGUAGGAU